AUGGGUAUUCACUCAGGAUCAGUUUGAAACAGUCUUCUAUGGUGUUGAUCUUUUUUUUUAAAGAAUGAUCUCCUAUGAAUCUGAACAAGGUCUGAAUCGCAAUCAACUCUUUAAUUCUUUUUUUGAUCUUUUUUUUCUCUUCUUCUCUUGCUCUUCUUUCUUUGAUUAUGAAACAAUCAAGAUCUAAAAGUCAGCAAGCAAAUGGGAUGCCUAUACUUCUUUUAAGCAUGGAAGAUAGAAGAUGCCCAA
rnacentral:lncRNA from 1 species